rnacentral:rRNA from 1 species
GAUGAACGCUGGCGGCGUGCCUAAUACAUGCAAGUCGAGCGAACGGACGAGAAGCUUGCUUCUCUGAUGUUAGCGGCGGACGGGUGAGUAAUACGUGGAUAACCUACCUAUAAGACUGGGAUAACUUCGGGAAACCGUAGCUAAUACCGGAUAAUAUUUUGAACCGCAUGGUGCAAAAGUGAAAGACGGUCUUGCUGUCACUUAUAGAUGGAUCCGCGCGGCAUUAGCUAGUUGGUAAGGUAACGGCUUACCAAGGCAACGAUGCAUAGCCGACCUGAGAGGGUGAUCGGCCACACUGGAACUGAGACACGGUCCAGGCUCCUACGGGAGGCAGCAGUAGGGAAUCUUCCGCAAUGGGCGAAAGCCUGACGGAGCAACGCCGCGUGAGUGAUGAAGGUCUUCGGAUCGUAAAACUCUGUUAUUAGGGAAGAACAUAUGUGUAAGUAACUGUGCACAUCUUGACGGUACCUAAUCAGAAAGCCACGGCUAACUACGUG